AUGUGUCCCAACCAAUCACCUCUUUCAGACUACACAGGAGUUUCCAGCGUGAGCCGAAUGGCAGCAGGGAGCAGGAAUCCAUCCCCUUGGAGCAGAGAGGACACGGAGCCCACUAGCCUCCCUGGGGCUGCAUCGACCUUGGGAAAUGCCCCUUUCAGGACCCCGGGACCCAUCCUCUCCACAGACACACGUGCGGGCUCAGAGUCUGCUCAGACUGCCAGUCUCUUUGUGGGCUCGGCACCAGGUGGCCAGGCUGGAGAGACACCCCCGCCAAGCGUGUCUGCUGUGGGAGGCCAUCCCACUGCAGGAGGGUCUGUGGGCCCUGGCUCUCUCCCUCCUGCUGCCACAGCCUUUGAGUCUGAGGGCAUGGCAGGCUCCAGCGUCCCCUUAGACAGCAGCCCUCGAAGGACCGUUUCCUCCUUUUUGCCCACGGCCACCUCGGCGGCCGCCACAGCAGCGAUGUGGGAGCAUGACAGCACCAGGUCUCCUGAAAGGGGUCCAGGUGGCUCCUUCCAUACCGAGAUCCCUUCUUCAGGGAAAGGCAUCAGCACCCCCCUUGCUCUGUCUCCUUCUGACUCGGGCUCCACUAGCAGAGUCCCCGGCGCGACCUCCCUUUCCCAGGGCACACAGACAGUGGCUUCCACCAUCCCUGAGGAGUCAGAGGCCCAGACAGGGAUGCCGGCCAGCUCGGUUGGUCUGACCACCCCUCCCCGGAGUCAGAUCUCCAGUACCGAGGAGGCAGAGACAGCCACGGCUGCCCCUUCCCUGGGAGCCAGCCCAGGGCCAGUGGAUGCGCCCACUGCCUUCCCUGUUUCCACGGGCCCUCUAGGAACCGCCAUGGCCCCAGGAGGGAGCCCUAGUUCUAGGAGGACCCUGGAGACUUUGUGGACCGAGACAAGCAGCCCCUUUGCUUCUCCCAGCACGAGCCAGCAGAAGGGCGGUCCUCCUCCUGGGCUAGGGCCCUCUGGCUCCACGGGCACCCGGACACCUGUGGCCAUGACCGAGCCGUGGAGCAGCGCUGUGGUCUCUUCAUCUCCUGGCACAACGAGGACCCUGUAUGCCACGGAGGGGACCAGCCUCCUGGCUUCUCGUGAAGGCUUCCUGGCGACGACUGACACGCAGAGCAGGCCCGAUGGGACAUCUCCCAGCAUCCUCGUGGCUGGGUCAGUCUCAGCAGGCAGCCCUCGAGGCUCAGAGAGCAGCAUGCACUCAGAGAGUUCCUCAGUGUCUGCAGAGAUGGCGGUUGGAGAGAUCACGCUGCCCCCUGGGAGUUCCACCACUGCCUUUCCUGUGGACAGCCCCUCAACCCAUGGCCCCAGCGUUCCAGUGAUCAGUGCCAGAGCCGAGACGUCAUCCCAGCCGGAGCCGGUGACGGUAGCUGAGUCGUCCCCUUCUCCUGUCUCAGGGACUGCCCCUGGUGAAAAUGCAGCUGUGCCAUGGCUUUCUACCCCAGCUGAGGCCCUGAGUGCCUUAAGCACAGGCCUCAAUUGGCUGUGGACUCUCCCUGCAGCCAGUCCAGAAGCGUCCUCAGGGAGCAGCACCGUGGCUCUGGACAAGGUUUCAGCUGUGCCAGAGACCGAGGGGCCAAGCCUGGCUGCCAGCAGCAUGGUCACAGACACGCUCCCUCCCUCUGCCACCUCUGCUCAGCAUCCUGGCCACCCAAGUCCGGGAGGAGGGAUUGGCUCCGCUGGCUCCCUGACCUCAGCCUGGUCCCCAGAGCCAACAUCCUCCGACUCUGGCACUGGAGCCGCCUCUUCCUCUCCUCCAGAUGUGAGCUCCUCUUUGGGGGUGACUCGAGCUGGCAGUGGGGCAUUGCCGAUGGACUCGCAGACCACAGAACUUCUCUCGUCGGCCACUGCACCAGCGUAUGGCACAUCGGCAGAGGCCACAAGGACUGUGACAGGAGGUGGCCCUCCAGGGGCAUUGAGUCCAGGGCCCAUUCCCAGCUUGGGAGACUCGAUCACAGCCUCCUGGAAGGACUCGGCAGGCACGGGCAGGAGCUCUGUGUCUCCGGAGCUUACCCUGCCUGUUGUUUUGGGUACUGACGCCUCCACAGGGUUCACAGCAUCUGGUGGCCCAUCCAGUCCUCCUCCAGGGACUGAGCUGCCAACCAUGCCUGGCACCGAGUCGCCAUCCUCACCUCUCGCAGUUGUGGAAGCCAGUUCUGCUUCUCCCCUUUCCUGGGGCCCGGGGGCCAGCCCUUCCCCCGGUUUCUCCCAGUCGACAUCGGAGGACAAAGGAGGCUCCUUUCCGAGCGCCACCAAGCGCACGUCGGAUGUCUCAGCCUCUGGGCCCACCGUGAGUUCAGAGAGUGUUGUUGCCACCUCGUCAGUGCCCAGCACAGAGGAGAUUGGCUCCGGGUCCGCUGCCUCCCUGGGCACCAGACUUCCACUCUUGACUGGCGGGAACAGGGUUACGGGAACAGGGGCUCCAGGAUCUACCCCGGAGCCCACAAGCCCUUGGCGUACAGGCCCGGCAGCAACACCAAGGCCCGGCCUGACCUUCGGCCCUGCCCGGACAGAGAGCACAGUGCCCGUGAGCACAGGUGCUGGCUCAGAGACACCUUCAUCCAGCUCUGUGGGCAGCCAACCGAUAGCACCAGACACCAGCAUUGCCAGCCUUCCGGACCCCCUGGCGACUGAGGCCACCAGCUCUGCGUCUCUCCUUUCGCCAGAGACAGGUUCCCCGGGAAAACUCCAUGUGCUGUCGAGCCUCAGCCCACACUCCCCUCCUGUGUUCACGCCGUCCUCGUCCCGGACCAGCCCCUCUUCUCCUGGGAUGGCCCCUUUCUCUGGGUCAGAGCAGAACACAGAAGCAAGCGGGGCAUUUGUGCCAGUUUCAGUUGCCACGGAGACUCUGUGGGCAUCUGGCCCUUCCCCGUACUGGUCCACACUGACAGCAGACAUCCCUGGCCCAGCUGGUACAGCCUCUGGCUCAGGCCCUGCUCCUUCCACUUCAUCCCAGUUCACAAGCAUCAGUGAGAGCCUAGGUGCCAGCAGCCCCCCUGCAGACCUAACCUCCCAUGAAGCCAUCGCCACAUCUCCAGCCAGUGAGGCCCUGGGGGCCUCCACCAGUGUCAGCACUUCAGGUCAGUAGGAGUCUGCCGUCUGCUUAUUGUGCUGGAGAAGCCUUCAUCUGUGCUUGGUUUGUAUCGCCUGCUCUUGGGGCCUCUCCAUGUGGUGGAUAUGUGUUGGGCUAUUCUUGGGUCCUGGGGACCUGGCUUAGGAUUUUGCCCUUUCUGGGAACAUUUUCAUUCAGGCUUGCUUAGGUUUUCCCUUUGAGUUCUUACCCAUAGUUUCUCUUCCUUUUUUUUUUCAAUAUUCUGUCUUAUUUUUUUAGGAGAAUAUAGAUGAAUGAAAUUUUGUCACAUUGAUUGUUUUGAC
ensembl:lncRNA